ensembl:lncRNA
GUGAGGAUGUAGGUGAGGGUGUAGGUGAGGGUGUAGUUGAUUUUGUAGGAGGUCAUAGUUGAGGGUGUAGGAGAGGAUGUUAGGAGAGGGUGUAGGAGAGGGUGUAGGUGAGGGUGUGGGAGAGGAUGUAGGAGAGGGUGUAGUGAGGGUGUGGGAGAGGAUGUAGGAGAGGGUGUAGGAAAGGAUGUAGGCGACAGUGUAGGAGAGGGUGUAGGAGAGGAUGUAGGAGAGGAUGUAGGAGAGGGUGUAGGAGAGGAUGUAGGUGAGGGUGUAGGAGAGGGUGUAGGAGAGGAUGUAGUAGAGGGUGUAGGUGAGGGUGUAGGAGAGGAUGUAGGAGAGGGUGUAGGAGAGGGUGUAGGUGAGGGUGUAGGAGAGGAUGUAGGUGAGGGUGUAGGAGAGGGUGUAGGAGAGGGUGUAGGAAAGGAUGUAGUAGAGGAUGUAGGUGAGGGUGUAGUAGAGGGUGUAGGUGAGGGUGUAGGAGAGGAUGUAGUAGAGGAUGUAGGCAAUACUGCUGCACGCAGGGUGAAUAAAUGAGCAGGCGUGUGACCGGGUGAAAUCACAC